CAUGGAGUUUGAUCCUGGCUCAGAUUGAACGCUGGCGGCAGGCCUAACACAUGCAAGUCGAGCGGUAGAGAAAAGCUUGCUUUUCUUGAGAGCGGCGGACGGGUGAGUAAUGCCUAGGAAUCUGCCUGGUAGUGGGGGAUAACGUUCGGAAACGGACGCUAAUACCGCAUACGUCCUACGGGAGAAAGCAGGGGGACCUUCGGGCCUUGCGCUAUCAGAUGAGCCUAGGUCGGAUUAGCUAGUUGGUGGGGUAAUGGCUCACCAAGGCUACGAUCCGUAACUGGUCUGAGAGGACGACCAGCCACACUGGAACUGAGACACGGUCCAGACUCCUACGGGGAGCAGCAGUGGGGAAUCUUAGACAAUGGGGCGCAAGCCUGAUCUAGCCCAUGCCGCGUGAUCGAUGAAGGCCUU
rnacentral:rRNA from 1 species